AUUGAACGCUGGCGGCAGGCUUAACACAUGCGAGUCGAGCGGAGCGAGGGUGCUUGCACCUUAGCUUAGCGGCGGACGGGUGAGUAAUGCUUAGGAAUCUGCCUAUUAGUGGGGGACAACAUUCCGAAAGGAAUGCUAAUACCGCAUACGCCCUACGGGGGAAAGCAGGGGAUCUUCGGACCUUGCGCUAAUAGAUGAGCCUAAGUCGGAUUAGCUAGUUGGUGGGGUAAAGGCCUACCAAGGCGACGAUCUGUAGCGGGUCUGAGAGGAUGAUCCGCCACACUGGGACUGAGACACGGCCCAGACUCCUACGGGAGGCAGCAGUGGGGAAUAUUGGACAAUGGGCGGAAGCCUGAUCCGGCCAUGCCGCGUGUGUGAAGAAGGCCUUUUGGUUGUAAAGCACUUUAAGCGAGGAGGAGGCUACUUAGAUUAAUACUCUGGGAUAGUGGACGUUACUCGCAGAAUAAGCACCGGCUAACUCUGUGCCAGCCGCCGCCAUAA
rnacentral:rRNA from 1 species